AUUGAACGCUGGCGGCAGGCUUAACACAUGCAAGUCGAGCGGGGGAAGGUAGCUUGCUACCGGACCUAGCGGCGGACGGGUGAGUAAUGCUUAGGAAUCUGCCUAUUAGUGGGGGACAACAUCUCGAAAGGGAUGCUAAUACCGCAUACGUCCUAAGAGAGAAAGCAGGGGAUCUUCGGACCUUGCGCGAAUAGAAGAGCCUAAGUCGGAUUAGCUAGUUGGUGGGGUAAAAGCCUACCAAGGCGACGAUCUGUAGCGGGUCUGAGAGGAUGAUCCGCCACACUGGGACUGAGACACGGCCCAGACUCCUACGGGAGGCAGCAGUGGGGAAUAUUGGACAAUGGGGGGAACCCUGAUCCAGCCAUGCCGCGUGUGUGAAGAAGGCCUUAUGGUUGUAAAGCACUUUAAGCGAGGAGGAGGCUACUCUAGUUAAUACCUAGGGAUAGUGGACGUUACUCGCAGAAUAAGCACCGGCUAACUCUGUGCCAGCAGCCGCAGUAA
rnacentral:rRNA from 1 species